rnacentral:misc_RNA from 1 species
CAUGCCCGCUCUCAGGCUUCUCUCUGAAAAGAACAAACCUAAAAUCAGAAAACGAACAGACCUAGUAGAAGUGUCGGCGUGGCCACUCUCAGAAAUUAAUAAUGGCUUUGACAUGGAAUGAAAAAUAUGAGCUUAUUACCAGAAAUUUGGCAGAAUGGUUGGGAGAUGAGAAACUAAAGAGUAUUCUAAAAGAACGUGACCUCAAACUAUAUUGGGGUACAGCUACAACUGGUAAACCUCAUAUUGGCUAUUUUGCACCUAUGUCCAAAAUAGCAGAUUUUUUACGAGGAGGAGCAGAAGUGAUAAUUCUCUUUGCUGACCUCCAUGCAUAUUUAGAUAAUAUGAAAGCACCAUGGGAGCUUUUAGAACUUCGUACUCAAUAUUAUGAAGCUGUAAUUAAAGCAAUGUUAAAAUCUAUUAAUGUUCCACUAGACAAUUUAAAGUUUGUCAAAGGAACAGACUAUCAGUUGACCAAGGAAUAUACAUUAGAUGUAUAUCGCCUAAGCUCGAUAAUAACGGAGCAUGAUGCAAAAAAGGCAGGAGCUGAAGUUGUCAAACAGGUUGCAAAUCCUUUGCUAUCUGGUCUUCUUUAUCCAGGGUUACAAGCACUCGAUGAGCAACACUUACAAGUAGAUGCUCAAUUUGGUGGCAUUGAUCAGAGAAAGAUCUUUACUUUUGCAGAGAAAUAUCUGCCCAUGUUGGGAUAUGAUAAACGUGUCCAUCUAAUGAAUCCAAUGAUUCCAGGUUUAGCAGGAGCAAAAAUGUCCUCAUCUGAGGAAGACUCAAAGAUCGAUUUAUUGGAUAACGCUGCAGCAAUAAAAAAGAAAUUAAAGAAGGCAUUUUGUGAGCCUGGCAAUAUUACAGAUAAUGGUGUUUUAGCGUUUUCCAAACAUGUUAUAUUUCCGCUAUUUAGAGAUGAUGAAGUUUUCAACAUACCAAGAACUGCAGAAUUUGGUGGUAAUAUAUCCUUUACUAAGUAUGAGGACUUGGAGACUGCUUUUGCAAAACAGGAGAUACAUCCUGGUGACUUAAAAAAUGCUGUAGAAAUAUACAUCAAUAAACUUCUAGAUCCAAUCCGCAAAGAAUUUGAGACACACUCAAAAUUGAAGACUUUGGCAAACAAAGCGUACCCUCUACCAAAAAAACAAAAAACUACAGAAGUGGAAAUUACUCCUGUAAGACUGGAUAUUCGAGUAGGGAAAAUAAUUGAAGUGAAAAAGCAUCCUGACGCGGAUUCACUCUAUGUAGAAAAAAUAGAUUUAGCGGAACCGAGUGGUCCACGUACCAUAGUCAGCGGCUUAGUUAAUUAUGUACCUUUGAAUGAGAUGGAGAACAGAAUGGUAGUGGUCCUUGCCAAUCUAAAACCAGCAAGUCUCAGAGGAAUCUUAUCACAUGGUAUGGUGCUCUGUGCUUCAGUGUAGGUCGAAAAUCGAAGAAUAUUUGACUUGUGUUUUAUCGUUUGCUCAGAUACUCGAUAAUUUUAAAGCUAUUCAACAAUAAAGUUUGAAGUUUAGUUAGUACAAUGCAGAUUGUUGAAAUUUAUCAACGCAGGAACAGUGGGUUAAGUACAAGCAAGAUAGGAUUAGUAUACUUUUAUUUAGUACACAAUGAUAUUAUCAAAAAGGAACACAAUACACUUGAACUCGGUCUUCACAGUAUAUAGAUUAACCUAACUCUAUAUAAGAAGCCGCCACUUCCUCGAGCAUACGCUCACGAUGACUAACUAACUGACUAAAGACUUGCUUCUCCUCCUACCACACGCGCGCCACGCAUAUGUCCGCUGACACAUUAGUGCAAACGUCACAAAGCGCGCUAGACAAAAAUUCAAAUUCAAACCACAAGAUUCCUUCGGUCUAAGCACUUUGUUGGUUUGGCAACUACUUGCAACUUAGUACAGAUCGUAUAAAACCGCUCCUUUGGAAGAGCUUUAGUUAAUAUAUCCGCUAAUUGAGAUCUUGUAGGAAUAUACUUAACGACUAUCUCCUUGGCUUCUACUUUCUCUCGUACAUAAUGAAAACGCAAAUCAAUAUGCUUGGUCCGUUUAUGGAACUCUGGGUUCUAUGCCAACCGUAUUGUGCUUUGAUUAUCAACAUUCAAUACUGUCGCUUCCUCACAAGAAUAACCUAAGUCGCUCAAUAAGCCUCUCAACCAUAUUGCCUCUUUGGCUGUCGACACUGCAGCAACAUAUUCCGACUCUGUCAUGCUUAAGGUCACAAGACUUUGUCUCUGU